UAGCCAAAUGACUUGUCAAUGGUCUUCCUAAUAAAAUUGAAUUUACUUCACAAAAAAGAUUUGGACUGCAAUGCGCGUUGAGACAGCCCAGGCGCCAGGGCCCUCCUUUCACCGGUUGAUCAUUCAUUCAAACAUGCUAAUCCUUUCCAUCAUCCAUUUAAUCCAUUAACACAAAAAAUAAGAAGACAGAAGAUAUAAGUCACCGAGGAACAUAGCAAACUCGUCUCAGCCGUCUCAUUGCGAUGAAUUGUUCCAAGAAUUUGUUAUUUGGUGAAAUUUUAAUUAUGUCUAUGUUAAUAGUAGUAUAAAUGAACGGUCAAACUGGUUGAGAUGUCGCAAAAA